AAGCUUGCUUCAAUUGCCGGCGACCGGCGCACGGGUGAGUAACGCGUGAGCAACCUGCCUUUCAGAGGGGGAUAACGUCUUGAAAAGGACGCUAAUACCGCAUGACAUUACGUUUUCGCAUGGAGAUGUAAUCAAAGGAGCAAUCCGCUGAAAGAUGGGCUCGCGUCCGAUUAGGUAGUUGGCGGGGUAGAGGCCCACCAAGCCGACGAUCAGUAGCCGGCCUGAGAGGGUGAACGGCCACAUUGGGACUGAGACACGGCCCAGACUCC
rnacentral:rRNA from 2 species